AAGCUUCGACGCCUUCGAAACUCCUUCCCACUUCGACACAGUUGCAGCUUCGACACAAUAUUUAAAAGUUUUAUUUUAACAACAUAACCUUCAAAUAGAUAUUGGACCCACCACUUGUAUUUAAUUGAUAAAUACCAAAUUUAUGCCCAACAACCACAUCAUUAAAAAUGUGAUUAUUCCUAGAGUUCCAAAUAGACCAGAUCCAAAGAAUACAUUUGCAGAAAUCCUCCUAUCCACCCACUACUAGAAAAAUUUAUAUUUAGAGAGGGUACAUAGAUUUCCGUCACUAAUAUGAGUAAUUCAAUAACAAAUAUGUUUAUUGACAGAAUUUGUGACGACCCAAAAAUGUAACAAAAACU
rnacentral:lncRNA from 1 species